rnacentral:RNase_P_RNA from 1 species
GCCGCCUCCCGGACGGUCGCGGUCGCGUGUCAAAGCGCGGUCGAGGAAAGUCCGGACACCAUAGGGCAACGCGCCUCGUGAAAGCGGGGGACGGAAGUCGCGAGACGACCGGACGGAAAGUGCAGCAGAGAGUAAACCGCCGAUGGCCCGCAAGGGCACAGGUAAGGGUGAAAGGGUGGGGUAAGAGCCCACCGCGCGUCCGGGCAACCGGCGUGGCACGGCAAACCCCGCGUGGUGCAAGACAGAACAGGGGAAGGGCGGCCCGCCCGAUCAAGAUCUCCGGGUAUUAGUCGCACCCUGCGCAAGCAGGGUCCCGCGCAAGCGGGAAGAGAAAUGGCCGUCCAGUCCCGCUCGCGGGAUGGACAGAAUCCGGCUUACAGGGGGGCGGCACCC